rnacentral:lncRNA from 1 species
AAACAGUCCUCAACCACGUGCCUCUCUGUCUGAACUCCUCUGCCACAUACACACACGUUCUUCAAAGGAAGGCGGCCACGACCUCGUCUAUUCCAACGGCCGGUUUCUACGGACCACUCGAAGACAGCCAAUCACGAUACGCCUCUUGUGACGUCACGAGAAGUAGACCAAAUAUAGUUUUUCUAUUCCUGACGUCACCUACACUUCAUAUUUUCCUUAUGACGUCAGGAGCCUCGCGUGUCAGGUGCUUCGUGUCGCUGGUGUGAGGCUUCGAGUCAAGGAGCCAAGGCAGUGAAGCUUACACCACCCUCAGUUCCGGCGGGCGUGGCGUGUGGUGCGGCUGUGUCAGAUUCUGUGGCGUCAUGCUAUUGUUGGUGAACUUGAGACAGGACUGGCUUGCUUACGCGUGUUCCCAGCUGGUGUGUUGACGAGGUCUCCUCCGCCCAGCCCCGCUCCUGUCCCGUCCAGCCCCGCCCUGCCCCGUCCUGCCCCGCCCCGCCCCGUCUCUCCCUACUGGUUAAAAAGACAAAUCCAACGCCUUAACCUCAGUGCGCACAACAUACCAAGCCUUGGAGUCCACCAGCAGACGCAAACACCACCACCACCACCACCACCACCACCACCACUCCAUUCACAUAAGCCAGUGGUUUCCAAACUCGGGGACAGUUUAACAAUUUUUCGGUGGUAAUGGAGAGGUGAUAAAAAAGGUUAACAAACGUGAAAAUGAAGAAAACCUUGUAGUACCUGGCAUUAGGAUUAAUGUUAACUUUGUCUUAGUAUGCAAAGCUGUAUAGUAAACCUAUUAUGAAUAGUUAUUUAUUAUAAAUAUUUUUUGUUUAUUAUGAUAAUCAUUAAAAAUUCUUGACAUCUUUGGCAAUAGUUACCAGAGAUACACAAUGUUUAAAUGAAAUAAACAAAAGAAAAUGUC